UACGAGGGGGGGCAAAUGUUGUUCGGAAUCACUGGGCGUAAAGGGAGCGUAGGCGGUUUUUUAAGUUAGGUGUUUAAUCCCGGGGCCCAACCCCGGACAGGCACCUAAAACUGGAAAACUUGAAUAGGGGAGAGGUCGGUGGAAUUGGAGGUGUAGCGGUGGAAUGCGUAGAGAUCUCCAAGAACACCAGUUGCGAAGGCGGCCGACUGGACCCAUAUUGACGCUGAGGCUCGAAAGCAUGGGGAGCAAACAGG
rnacentral:rRNA from 1 species